GGUAAGAUGGUCGAGACUUAGGCGAUAGACUGUAAAUCUAUAUAGGAGGGUAACCUCUUUUACCA
rnacentral:tRNA from 1 species